rnacentral:misc_RNA from 1 species
CGGCGGCGCACUUGCAUUACCUAAACCAAGCAAAGCAAACCCAAGCCACCCUAUCCCCACCGCCACCUCUUCAUAUACAUAUGCUUGUGUGCCUUUGUCUCUUUUUAUGGUCAAAACCCCUUCUGUCUCUUUUUAGCCUGGAAGAGGAAAGAUUUGAUCUUUCUUCCUUACCAGUUGUUUAAUUUCUGUUCUAUUCCAUUGCUUGUAAGCCAGGGACUGUCUGGCAAGCAGGUGUAAAUGGCUCUGGUGAACAGAAACUUUGCCCAUAUGGGUCCAACUCCUAUUUUGAGGAGUGAUUUGUUAAUUGGAUACACAGAACAGAACUCGUUGAUGAUGGAGAAGAGGCAGUUGUUCCUGAGAAGCUAUCAGUUCUGCAGAAAAAAGAGUCUGACAGAAAGAAUCAAGAGAUCUUUGGUCAGAGUGAAGAAAGUGAUAUGGCUGAGACUACGAUCUGCUCGUAAACUUCGAAGGUUGGUGUGGUCUAGACUUCGUAGUGCGUUCUAUUGUCGCCGCAGAAGAAGUUUUCUCCGUCUCCGUAGUCCCAAUCACCAUUGCUACUAUUCUACUUCUUCUUCUUCUUCUUCAUCAUUGGCCAAGUUAUGGAUUGUGCAUGGUAUUGUGGCUGGAGCCGCGAUUGCUGCUGCUUUCGGUGCUCGUGCUUAUCUGGGUAGAUUCAGAAAGUUCCGAAGCCGGGUUGUAGGAAUCAUACCUGCUCGUUUCGCUUCCUCUCGGUUCCAGGGCAAGCCACUAGUCCAAAUUCUAGGGAAACCCAUGAUUCAGGUAUAAAUCAUAUUUGCUUCAAAUUUUUUUUUAUUAUCUUUUAAAUUUUUACGAAAAGAUUUUACAUGAGUUCAAUUUUCCCGUUUCUGUUUUUUUGUGUAGUUUAAUGUUAAAGUUGAAUGAUUUGGUACAAAAUCUGGAACGGCUUUCGCAUUUCGGAUUGUUAAACGAUGAGCAAUCAUCAAUUAACAUUUUUUGUGAUCCAAUGGUUGGCCUAAACAACGUCAGCCAAUUUUAAUUAGCAGUGAAAUGCUUCAUUAGAGGUUCAAAGAGCUGCUGAAUGAAUAUAAUAUUGAAUUUCUUAAUUUGUUUAUCGCUUGUCAGAUUCAUAUUGCCAAUGACCACAGUGUGAGAUCUUCGAUCUUUUCUCUUGGAGGAUGUGUGGAUCCUCACUCUAACACUUCCUAUGGUUGAGCUCAAUAACAUGGUUAUGAGGAAAGCCUAUAUUAAGUUGAUUGAUUGUGAGAACCAUGAUUACACUUCAAGAAGUGAGAGAAUCCUUUGUUCAUCUUUAGAAACAAAAAAGAACUGACAUUGUGCACUUCCUGUUUCUAGAUUAUUUAUUCCUUUUUGGAGGUAAAUUAAGCUCAUCAAAUUGUUUGCAACCACAUCAACAAGUAAUUCAUUUCAUUUUUAGAUAAAUCUAUUAUAGAUAAAAGAAUUCUAUGGAAAAUGGUUAGGGAUCCACUAAAAAUUCAAUUGCUGGCAUUUUUUAUAUUUGGUAUAUCUAUACUAGGACCUCAAAUUUCAAUAAUUUUAUGUUUUGAGAGAAAAAGGACAAGGAGAGAGAGUAUUAACACAGAGACUAUACAAGGAAAGAAAGUAUUAGCACAGAGACUGUACGAAUUCAUUUGAAAAUUCCAUCAAUUGUUAUAGAAUUUGCUUCAAGUUAACGAAUUCCAUAAAAUUAACAAUGAGAACUUGUAAAUAUCUUAAUAGUUUCUGACAUAACAAUAUGGAAUUAUAAAAAAAAACCAUAAAUUUUAUAUUCCAAACAUGUAAUGUAUAGAAUUGCAAAUGAAUUUUAUAAAAUUUUAUGAAAUUCUUUCAUUCCCAAACAGUUUUAGUAGUUUAAUUGUAGAAUCACCUUGUGGACAUGUAUCGAUAACAUAAUAAAUGGACUGUGAUGUAUGUUUUCUAAUGCAUUUAGUUGAUGAUCUACAGAGAACUUGGGAAAGAGCAAAAUUAGCAACUACCUUGGAUCACAUAGGUAAAUUAACUUUGCUGAGAUUCAUCUAAUUUAUUUGGAAAUGAUGCUAAGAUUUUCUGUUUAAUUAGAGCAAUAUCUUUAGAAAUGCAUUCAACUACAUAUCUUGAUUGUAGCAGAAAUGCUUAAAUGCUACUUAUGUUCAUUAUCUAGGGUUAGGUUACAUCACAAUGCAUCUAGAUGUCAAGUGCAGAAGUCUGGAUUUGGUUCAGGGAGCCCCACAAAAAAGUUAAUUUAUUAUUUAUGGGUUGGACUUGUCCAUCCAACUUGUUUAGCACUGGAUGUUUUUCAUUUCUCCAUUCCUGUGAACAGAAAAAGAUAAAUUAAUGAAAAAAAAUGUAGUUAUGCCAAUGAAAUCAAUGAUAGAGUUUCUUGGAUAAAUAAUAUUUUCUUUUUUCAAGGUGUAGCAUGUGCUUGGUAGAUAUUAUCUUCUUCUUCUUUCAGAGGUUGGGGUUGGGGGCAGUGGACAGGGAUUUUCGAUGGGCAAUUAAAAAUGCUGAAGGAACAAGUUAUUGUUUAGUGGUAAGCAUGAAGAUUCAGCUGGUACUGUUUUAGCUAUUUUUGCCUAUUGUGAGAAUAUUCGGGAUUCUUUUAAGAAAGAGAGUUCUGUUAUUCUGCCCAAUCCUUGUCAGGGUCAGAUUUGGAUUCUAUGGAGGCCACCGUGGAGUUCUUGGUAUAAAAUUAAUGUGGAUGCUUCGUGUAGAAGUUGAGAUGUGGCAGCGAGGUUAUGUUGCCAAAUUUGGUAAAAGUUCUCCGAUUGGUGCUGAGCUUUGGGCAAUUAAGUUGGUCUGCAGGUUUCUAGGCAGAAGGAAUUUUCCCAAGUUAUUUUGGAAUGUGACAAUUUUGCUGCUGUGUCUAUGGUUAAUGGUACUGAAAAACCCGUUGGCAGCUUGAGAUCUUUGGUGAUUUCCAUUCAGAGUCUCGGUACCCACAAUUGGGAGGUUCGUGUUGUGCAUGUGUACUGUGAAACUAAUAGAUGUGCAGACUUCUUGGCUGGCUAUGCUGUAAGAGUUGGGUUACGUGUCCAUAUGUUGUAGAGCCCUCCUCUUGAGCUCUUGGAGUGGAUUUCUCAUGAUAAAAUGGGAGUGGCCUACUCUCAUGUGGUGUAGUGUUGUGUUUGCUUUUGUUUAAUCCUUUUUUCCACCAAAAAAGGAAAAAAAAAUGCUGAAGACAUCAUCCAUAGGCUGCACUUUGUAGCUGACCACGUAGUUGAUUUGAUAAAUGUUCGUUUAGCAUUGUGAUUACUCCUUGUGUGUCCCUGUUUCUUGUAUGUUUGCAUGUGUAUACUUGUUUUUUGUGUUUAUGAUAUCUCAUUCGUAGUUUGUGAUUGAUGCAGUUGUGGCAACGGAUGAUGAAAAGAUUGCAGAGUGUUGUCGUGGAUUUGGGGCAGAUGUGAUAAUGACUUCAGAAUCUUGUAGAAAUGGUACAGAAAGAUGCAAUGAAGCUCUUGGAAAGCUAGAAAAGAAAUAUGAUGUUGUUGUCAAUAUUCAGGGGGAUGAGCCUCUCAUUGAACCUGAGAUAAUUGAUGGAAUUGUUAAAGCAC